rnacentral:rRNA from 1 species
CGCGUAGGCGGCUUUAUAAGUCUGGAGUGAAAGUCCUCUUUCAAGGGAGGAAUUGCUUUGGAAACUAUAGAGCUUGAGUGCAGGAGAGGUUAUCGGAAUUCCCGGUGUAGCGGUGAAAUGCGUAGAUAUCGGGAGGAACAUCGGUGGCGAAGGCGGGUAACUGGACUGCAACUGACGCUGAGGCGCGAAAGUGUGGGGAGCAAACAG